GCUUAUCCCUUUCCAGAUUGAAUAUACCCGAUCUCGUCUGAUCUCGGAAGUCAAGCAAUCUCGGGCUUGGUUAGUACUUGGAUGGGUGACCGCUUGGGAAUACCAAGUGUGAUAAGCA
rnacentral:rRNA from 1 species